GGGACGGACGGAUAUUGGGCGUAAGAGCUCGUAGGCGGUUUGUCGCGUCUGCCGUGAAAGUCCGGGGCUCAACUCCGGAUCUGCGGUGGGUACGGGCAGACUAGAGUGAUGUAGGGGAGACUGGAAUUCCUGGUGUAGCGGUGAAAUGCGCAGAUAUCAGGAGGAACACCGAUGGCGAAGGCAGGUCUCUGGGCAUUAACUGACGCUGAGGAGCGAAAGCAUGGGGAGCGAACAGGAUUAGAUACCCUGGUAGUCCAUGCCGUAAACGUUGGGCACUAGGUGUGGGGGACAUUCCACGUUUUCCGCGCCGUAGCUAACGCAUUAAGUGUCCCGCCUGGGGAGUACGGCCGCAAGGCUAAAACUCAAAGGAAUUGACGGGGGCCCGCACAAGCGGCGGAGCAUGCGGAUUAAUUCGAUGCAACGCGAAGAACCUUACCAAGGCUUGACAUGGGCCGGACCGGGCUGGAAACAGUCCUUCCCCUUUGGGGCCGGUUCACAGGUGGUGCAUGGUUGUCGUCAGCUCGUGUCGUGAGAUGUUGGGUUAAGUCCCGCAACGAGCGCAACCCUCGUUCCAUGUUGCCAGCGCGUAAUGGCGGGGACUCAUGGGAGACUGCCGGGGUCAACUCGGAGGAAGGUGGGGACGACGUCAAAUCAUCAUGCCCCUUAUGUCUUGGGCUUCACGCAUGCUACAAUGGCCGGUACAAAGGGUUGCGAUACUGUGAGGUGGAGCUAAUCCCAAAAAGCCGGUCUCAGUUCGGAUUGGGGUCUGCAACUCGACCCCAUGAAGUCGGAGUCGCUAGUAAUCGCAGAUCAGCAACGCUGCGGUGAAUACGUUCCCGGGCCUUGUACACACCGCCCGUCAAGUCACGAAAGUUGGUAACACCCGAAGCCGGUGGCCUAACCCCUUGUGGGAGGGAGCUGUCGAAGUGGGACUGGCGAUUGGGACUAAGUCGUAACAGGUAAC
rnacentral:rRNA from 1 species